rnacentral:tRNA from 1 species
GCCGAGAUAGUCUAGCCCGGUACGGCGCGAGCCUGGAAAGCUCGUGGGAACUUCCCUCGGGAGUUCGAAUCUCCCUCUCGGCG